GUUAAACGGCCGCGGUAUCCCUACCGUGCAAAGGUAGCAUAAUCACUCGUCUUCUAAAUGUGGACUAGAAUGAAAGGCUCUCUGAGAGCCCAACUGUCUCCUGUGCCCAAUCAAUGAAACUGAUCUUUCAGUACAAAAGCUGAAAUAUACCCACAAGACGAGAAGACCCUGUGGAACUUCAAACCCAAUGCUAAUCUCACACCAAUCCAACAGACAUAUCCACCAUUUCAAAGCACCAUGGUUUUAAGUUGGGGCGACUAAGGAGAAAAAUUAAACCUCCAUGAAAUAGGCUACUCCCCCCACAAGGCACACAUGCCAAAUGGCCAUAAAACCUUGACCCAGUAUAACUGACAACCGAACCAAGCUACCCCAGGGAUAACAGCGCUAUCUCCCUCAAGAGCCCAUAUCGCCAGGGAGGCUUACGACCUCGAUGUUGGAUCAGGACCCCCGGGUGGUGAAACCGCUACCAAAGGUUCGUUUGUUCAACGAUUAAAGUCCUA
rnacentral:rRNA from 1 species